rnacentral:rRNA from 1 species
CGUGUAGGCGGCCUCUUAAGUCUGGUGUGAAAGCCCGGGGCUUACCCCCGGAAGGGCACUGGAAACUGGGAGGCUAGAGUACCGGAGAGGAGGGUGGAAUUCCUGGUGUAGCGGUGAAAUGCGUAGAUAUCAGGAGGAACACCGGUGGCGAAGGCGGCCCUCUGGACGGAUACUGACGCUGAGACGCGAAAGCGUGGGGAGCAAACAGGAUUAGAUACCCUGGUAGUCCACGCUGUAAACGAUGUGCGCUAGACGUUGGAGGACCUAGUUCUCCGGUGUCGCAGCUAACGCUUUAAGCGCACCGCCUGGGGAGUACGGCCGCAAGGUUAAA